rnacentral:hammerhead_ribozyme from 1 species
AUCCAGUUGACGAGUCCCAUAUAGGACGACAUGCGCAUCCUGGAU